AUUAUUGGGGCAAUUUCUAGGCAAGUAAGACUGUAAAUUUUAUUGGGGCUAGUUAAAAAU
rnacentral:tRNA from 1 species